rnacentral:rRNA from 1 species
AUUGAACGCUGGCGGCAGGCCUAACACAUGCCAGUCGAACGGUAGCAGGAAGCAGCUUGCUGCUUCGCUCACGGGACGCGGACGGGUUGGCUAGGUCUGUGCAUCGUCCUGGUGGAGGGGGAUAACUACUGGGAACUGUUGCUAACACCGCAUAGUGGCGCAAGACGGGGGAGGUUGGCCUUCGACGCUCUCGCCAUCGCAUGUGCCCAGAUGGGAUGUGCUUGGUGGUGGGGUAAAGGCGCACCAAGACGACGAUCCGUAGCUGGUCUGAGAGGAUGACCAGCCACACUGGGACUGAGACACGGUCCAGACUCCUACGGGAGGCAGCAGUGGGGAAUAUUGGACAAUGGGCGAAAGCCUGAUGCAGCCAUGCCGCGUGUAUGAAGAAGGCCUUCGGGUUGUAAAGCACUUUCAGCGGGGAGGAAGGGAGUAAAGUUAAUACCUUGCUUCAUUGACGUUACCAGCAGAAGAAGCACCGGCUAACUUCGUG